rnacentral:snoRNA from 21 species
UAUCAUGAUGAACGCGAUGUGUAUGAAAAUACGCUGGAAAUUACCGUCUCAGACCUUCGGGUCGGUGAUGAUACAAAUGGCUAUUUCUGAUC